rnacentral:rRNA from 1 species
GACGAACGCUGGCGGCGCGCCUAACACAUGCAAGUCGAACGGAGCACGGCGGAUGAUUUCCUUCGGGGAUGAAUUUGCCAUUUGCUUAGUGGCGAACGGGUGAGUAACACGUGAGUAACCUGCCCUUUAGUGGGGGACAACAUCUGGAAACGGAUGCUAAUACCGCAUAAGACCACGGUGUCGCAUGGCACAGUGGCCAAAGGAGCAAUUCGCUAGAGGAUGGACUCGCGCCUGAUUAGCUAGAUGGUGGGGUAAUGGCCUACCAUGGCGACGAUCAGUAGCCGGACUGAGAGGUCGAUCGGCCACAUUGGGACUGAGACACGGCCCAGACUCCUACGGGAGGCAGCAGUGGGGAAUAUUGCACAAUGGGCGAAAGCCUGAUGCAGCGACGCCGCGUGAGGGAAGAAGGUUUUCGGAUUGUAAACCUCUGUCUUCGGGGACGAUAAUGACGGUACCCGAGGAGGAAGCCACGGCUAACUACGUGCCAGCCGCCGCAGUAACAC